rnacentral:rRNA from 1 species
CGCCCGAGUACUACAAGCCACAGCUUAAAACUCAAAGGACUUGGCGGUGCCCCACACCCACCUAGAGGAGCCUGUUCUAUAAUUGAUAACCCCCAAUAAACCUCACCACCCCUAGCCACCACAGCCUAUAUACCACCGUCGUAAGCUUACCCAACAAAGGAGAAAUAGUGAGCCCAAUAACUUUAAGUUAAAAAGUCAGGUCAAGGUGCAGCACACGAGAUGGAAAGAAAUGGGCUACACUUUCUCAAAAGAAUGCAGAAUAUAAAUGAAAUAAAUUAUGAAGAAGGAUUUAGCAGUAAAAAGAAAAAAGAGUGUUCUAUUUAAUUAGGCAAUGGGACAAGCACACACCGCCCGUCACCCUCUUCAAACACACAACCAAUAAAUAAUAUAAAAUAACCACAAGAAGAGGAAAGUCGUAACAUGGUAAGUCUACCGGAAGGUGGACUUGGAAU